rnacentral:rRNA from 1 species
UCGAACGCUGGCGGCAUGCCUUACACAUGCAAGUCGAACGGUAGAGGGGCAACCCUUGAGAGUGGCGAACGGGUGAGUAAUAUAUCGGAACGUGCCCAGUCGUGGGGGAUAACGCAGCGAAAGCUGCGCUAAUACCGCAUACGAUCUAUGGAUGAAAGCGGGGGAUCGCAAAGACCUCGCGCGAUUGGAGCGGCCGAUAUCAGAUUAGGUAGUUGGUGGGGUAAA